CUGACUUAUGGUGGGGCAGCAGGGUGGAAAGGACAUCAUUGUCCUGCCGGCUCCCGCCACUGAGAUGGCUGGGUUCCGGUAACAAGAUCAGUUAAACUUUAGGUCAGUGCUUCUCAAACUAAGACCCAUUCAGAUCAGCUGGGAUCUCCAGAUAAAGUGCAGAUUCUGCUCCAGUAGGUUUAGGGCAGGGCUGAGGUUCUGCAGCUGUGACUAGUCCCCAGGUGAUGGUGCUGCUGCUCAGGUAUUUGGCUUGGAUAUGCCUCUUUGCUACUGAGAAAAGUGCUGCUUUGAAUCUAGUGGUGAAAAUACCUCAUUGAGACCCUGCUAUCAAGACUUUUGAAUAUAUGCCUAGAAAUCGGAAUUGUAGAUCACAUCGUAGGUUUACCCAUCAAGUAAACAUCCAAAUGACAUCCCUAACUCAACAUAAAUUCCCCACCCACUCCAAGUUUAUAUAAAUUGGAGAUUUCUUCUGUCUUUCUAAAGUGUGUUUUUUUUUUAAUCUAUGUUCUUGUCAGAACUAUAGGGAGCUUUCUGAGGAAAAAGUACCUGCAUUUUGGUAGUGUUUGCAGUAAGAUGGCUGAGUCAUUUGUUGCAUUAUCUUGUCAUCCAUCAAAGCUGGUGAUAAGAAUACUGAAUUCCUGGGGAUUGUUUGAG